CUACGGGCGGCACCAGUGGGGAAUAUUGCACAAUGGGCGCAAGCCUGAUGCAGCAACGCCGCGUGAGGGAUGAAGGCCUUCGGGUUGUAAACCUCUUUUAGCAGGGAAGAAGCGAAAGUGACGGUACCUGCAGAAAAAGCACCGGCUAACUACGUGCCAGCAGCCGCGGUAAUACGUAGGGUGCAAGCGUUGUCCGGAAUUAUUGGGCGUAAAGAGCUCGGAGGCGGUUUGUCACGUCUGCUGUGAAAAUCCAAGGCUCAACCUUGGACUUGCAGUGGGUACGGGCAGGCUAGAGUGCGGUAGGGGAGAUGGGAAUUCCUGGUGUAGCGGUAGAAUGCGCGGAUAUCAGGAGGAACACCAAUGGCGAAGGCACAUCUCUGGGCCGUAACUGACGCUGAGGAGCGAAAGCGUGGGGAGCGAACAGGAUUAGAUACCCCAGUAGUC
rnacentral:rRNA from 1 species